UAUAUGAAUUCUUCUUUUUUUAUAGGUCUACUACAUAGUUGAUACUGUAGGACAGGCUACAGAAAUAAGAAAACUGGUCUCUCUCAUCAACAAUAGUGUGGCAAUUCUAAAAUUUCAACAUGCGGCCUACACAGCUAGCUCAUGUGGAGAAGAGAUAUGAGACUGAUUGCGAAUAAAUGUACACUUAGUUUAGUGCAGCAUGGAUCUACAAAGUGAAAUAUAUGUACCAAAAAUAUUAGUUUAUUCAAAACUAAGCCUUUUUCAGCACUGCAGUCAACAGAACAGUGAUAGUGACAAGAAUUGAGACUAUUUAAUACCUCAAACAAUGGAAAAAUACUUCCUGAGAUCAGUUGUCUACUACAUAGUUGAUACUGUAGGACAGGCUACAGAAAUAAGAAAACUGGUCUCUCUCAUCAGCAAUAGUGUGGCAAUUCUAAAAUUUCAACAUGCGGCCUACACAGCUAGCUCAUGUGGAGAAGAGAUAUGAGACUGAUUGCGAAUAAAUGUACACUUAGUUUAGUGCAGCAUGGAUCUACAAAGUGAAAUAUAUGUACCAAAAAUAUUAGUUUAUUCAAAACUAAGCCUUUUUCAGCACUGCAGUCAACAGAACAGUGAUAGUGACAAGAAUUGAGACUAUUUAAUACCUCAAACAAUGGAAAAAUACUUCCUGAGAUCAGUUGUCUACUACAUAGUUGAUACUGUAGGACAGGCUACAGAAAUAAGAAAACUGGUCUCUCUCAUCAGCAAUAGUGUGGCAAUUCUAAAAUUUCAACAUGCGGCCUACACAGCUAGCUCAUGUGGAGAAGAGAUAUGAGACUGAUUGCGAAUAAAUGUACACUUAGUUUAGUGCAGCAUGGAUCUACAAAGUGAAAUAUAUGUACCAAAAAUAUUAGUUUAUUCAAAACUAAGCCUUUUUCAGCACUGCAGUCAACAGAACAGUGAUAGUGACAAGAAUUGAGACUAUUUAAUACCUCAAACAAUGGAAAAAUACUUCCUGAGAUCAGUUGUCUACUACAUAGUUGAUACUGUAGGACAGGCUACAGAAAUAAGAAAACUGGUCUCUCUCAUCAGCAAUAGUGUGGCAAUUCUAAAAUUUCAACAUGCGGCCUACACAGCUAGCUCAUGUGGAGAAGAGAUAUGAGACUGAUUGCGAAUAAAUGUACACUUAGUUUAGUGCAGCAUGGAUCUACAAAGUGAAAUAUAUGUACCAAAAAUAUUAGUUUAUUCAAAACUAAGCCUUUUUCAGCACUGCAGUCAACAGAACAGUGAUAGUGACAAGAAUUGAGACUAUUUAAUACCUCAAACAAUGGAAAAAUACUUCCUGAGAUCAGUUGUAAGUGGUUUUAUAUCAUGCAUGAAACAAUAAACUAAAGUAUUUUUGAGAACUGUUGGAUAAUUCAUACACUGUACCAGAAAACUCACACAAUAAAAUUUAUUAAAUAUGAACACAAUC